rnacentral:rRNA from 1 species
CAGCAGCCGCGGUAAUACGAAGGGGGCUAGCGUUGCUCGGAAUUACUGGGCGUAAAGGGAGCGUAGGCGGAUCGUUAAGUUGGGGGUGAAAGCCCGGGGCUCAACCUCGGAACUGCCUUCAAUACUGGCGAUCUUGAGUAUGAGAGAGGUGUGUGGAACUCCGAGUGUAGAGGUGAAAUUCGUAGAUAUUCGGAAGAACACCAGUGGCGAAGGCGACACACUGGCUCAUUACUGACGCUGAGGCUCGAAAGCGUGGGGAGCAAACAGGAUUAGAUACCCCAGUAGUCCCUGUCUCUUAUAA